rnacentral:rRNA from 1 species
CAGCCGCCACGGUAAUACGUAGGGUGCAAGCGUUAAUCGGAAUUACUGGGCGUAAAGCGUGCGCAGGCGGUUAUAUAAGUCAGAUGUGAAAUCCCCGGGCUCAACCUGGGAACUGCAUUUGAGACUGUAUGGCUAGAGUGUGUCAGAGGGGGGUAGAAUUCCACGUGUAGCAGUGAAAUGCGUAGAUAUGUGGAGGAAUACCAAUGGCGAAGGCAGCCCCCUGGGAUAACACUGACGCUCAUGCACGAAAGCGUGGGGAGCAAACAGGAUUAGAUACCCGCGUAGUCCCUGUCUCUUAUAC